GACGAACGCUGGCGGCGUGCUUAACACAUGCAAGUCGAACGCUGAAGCUUGGUGCUUGCACUGGGUGGAUGAGUGGCGAACGGGUGAGUAAUACGUGAGUAACCUGCCCUUGACUCUGGGAUAAGUCUGGGAAACUGGGUCUAAUACUGGAUACGACAUGCCACUGCAUGGUGCUGUGUGGAAAGGGUUUUACUGGUUUUCGAUGGGCUCACGGCCUAUCAGCUUGUUGGUGGGGUAAUGGCCUACCAAGGCGACGACGGGUAGCCGGCCUGAGAGGGUGACCGGCGACACUGGGCCUGAGAGACGGCGCAGACGCCAACGGGAGGCAGCGGGGGGGAAUAUGACACAGUGGGCGGGAGCCUGAUACGACGGCGCCGCGUGAGGGAUGACGGCCUUCGGGGGAUAAACCUCUUUCAGCACGGAAGAAGCGGGAUUGACGGUACGUGCAGAAGAAGCGCCGGCUAACUACGUG
rnacentral:rRNA from 1 species